rnacentral:tRNA from 1 species
CCUACUUAACUCAGUGGUUAGAGUAUCGCUU